GUACAGGGACGUGGUAAUUGGCAGACUUAAUAUUGUCUUAUUUAAUAUCGUGUGAUAAUUGCAUAGAAGUGAAUUAUAAUAAUAUAAGUGUGUGAACUGCCCUCCGAGUCUGAGUGCUCUUUACCCGAGGUACCUGCUCGCGACAAGUGAUGGGAGUGGGCGGCCGUGGGGAUGAUUGCCCCGGAAGGGGCGGUCUGGCUUCUCAACACCGGGACGGGGAUGUCGAGACGCUCUGAUUGGGCAGGCCGCAGCCUCAUGUUCCUGCCCACCUUCAAACUCCCCAGAAGGGCGAUCUGGGGCAGAAGGCCGCCCGUGACACCCGACGGCCUAGUACCUGGGGUGCCAAGGCCAACGCGACCAUAAAGACGCAGGUCCGGGUUGUCGUGGCAACUCAGCCAGCCGCUUGCCGAUUGGGGAAGCCCUGAGAGCGAAGAGGUUUGAGACAUCUCGCGAGAGUCCUCCUCUGGGGCUUCCUCGGUGUCAGAGGAGGAAGUAGGGCUCAGAAGAACUCAAGUGAUGCUGCUGCAUCCUCCUGGUUAAGCAGGUUAUCUGGCCUUGGCUGGAGCCAUCGCCAGGUCCCUGGGCCAGUCCCUGUGCGUGUUUCUUCUGUCACACCACAGGAAAGGAAGCCAGCUGAGGAAAGGUGAGCCCAGGACCAAAGUUGACCUCCUCCCAGGAGCAGGAAGCUGAGGAUGGGCUGGGAAGUUGGGCAUGAGGACUCGAUUCACAGGAGCCCCCUGACUGUCCCCAGUGUCCCCAUGGGAAUAACCCCAGGUACACCUCUGAAGCUGCUCCUCCCAGGCAGGCUGUCUGUCCUGGGCUCCUCAGCCCUGUGGUCAGGGUGGCCCCUUCCCUGGAGCCCUCCGCAUCCCUGCCCUCUAGGCACUGGCCACAGAAAUGGCCCCACGAGGCCAAAGGGCCCCUGAGGAGAGCCUCUCUCCAGGCCUGGAUGGAGGGGGAGAUGCACCAUCUGCCAAGCCUAGGUGUCUCCCAUCACUUUGACUGUGUAACAAGUUACCACAAGGCUUGGGGGCUUAAAACACGCAACAUUCCCCAGAGUCCCUGGGUGGCUGAUUCAGGCGGCCCUGUGCAGAGGCCCCUCCCUGAGCCCAAAGCUGUGACUCUGCAGCCGCCAAAUGCAGCUUUGCCCAGGUGUGUCCUUGCUGUGCAGGGUCCCCACCUCCCUCUUAGUCACUUGGACAGUAAGGUCCUGAAGAAACACGCAUGAAAACAGCAUCCUUAACCUUGACUCAUGGGCCUGACUUCGCGGGGUUCAGAUGAAGUUGAGGUGGCUCUUCUCUUAGCCUCCUCCUGCCCAGAGCCCCCUGCGGGGCCUUCCCUCCUGCAUAUCAAUGCCAGUUCAGCACAGGGGGAGCCCCAGAUGUCUCCACUGUCACUGUCACUGUCACUGUCAACAGCACUGCGGUCACCAUCUUGCAGGGUUGGGGGAAGGUCUGGCGGGGCGGGGGCAGGGAGCAGCAGCCUGCACCAGCUAACUGUGAUGCGGAACAGAAGGGAGGAGCAGAAGAAAGUUGCCAAGGGGCCCUUCCU
ensembl:lncRNA